rnacentral:rRNA from 1 species
AGUGAACGCUGGCGGUAGGCCUAACACAUGCAAGUCGAACGGCAGCACAGUAAGAGCUUGCUCUUACGGGUGGCGAGUGGCGGACGGGUGAGGAAUACAUCGGAAUCUACUUUUUCGUGGGGGAUCACGUAGGGAAACUUACGCUAAUACCGCAUACGACCUACGGGUGAAAGCAGGGGAUCUUCGGACCUUGCGCGAUUGAAUGAGCCGAUGUCGGAUUAGCUAGUUGGCGGGGUAAAGGCCCACCAAGGCGACGAUCCGUAGCUGGUGUGAGAGGAUGAUCGGCCACACUGGAACUGAGACACGGUCCAGACUCCUACGGGAGGCAGCAGUGGGGAAUGUUAGACAGUGGGCGCAAGCCUGAUCCAGCCAUACCGCGUGGGUGAAGAAGGCCUUCGGGUUGUAAAGCCCUUUUGUUGGGAAAGAAAAGCAGCAGGUUAAUACCCCGCUGUUCUGACGGUACCCAAAGAAUAAGCACCGGCUAACUUCGUG